UGAACUAUGGUGUAAUGGUAACACACAAGAUUUUGGUUCUUGGAUUUCUGGUUCGAGUCCAGAUGGUUCAA
rnacentral:tRNA from 1 species